rnacentral:misc_RNA from 1 species
AAGUCGUAACAAGGUUUCCGUAGGUGAACCUGCGGAAGGAUCAUUAACACGUAUCCAAACGUUAAAACCCCCCCGAUUGUGCAAGGAUAGCGCUUCUACGAUUCCUGUAGACCGUACACUCGGGCAGGAGCCUUGCCAAAGAGUCCCCAUGCCCCCUAAUAACGCCACAGUUUAAUGUGAAGCUCAAUGUAAUACAUUGGGUAAAAAAACCGAACAACUGUUAACAAUGGAUAUCUUGGUUCUC